AGAGUUUGAUUCUGGCUCAGGAUGAACGCUGGCGGCGUGCUUAACACAUGCAAGUCGAACGAUUAAACCGGCUUCGGCCGGAUAUAGAGUGGCGAGCGGGUGAGUAACACGUGACCAACCUGCCCCUUACUUCGGGAUAACUCAGGGAAACUUGUGCUAAUACCGGAUACUCCGAUUUGACCGCAUGGUCUUUUCGGGAAAGCCUUUACGGUAAGGGAUGGGGGUCGCGGCCCACUUAGGUAGACGGCGGGGUAACGGCCCACCGUGCCGAUGAUGGGUAGCCGAGCUGAGAGGCUGAUCGGCCACAUUGGGACUGAGAUACGGCCCAGACUCCUACGGGAGGCAGCAGUGGGGAAUUUUGCGCAAUGGGGGAAACCCUGAACCGCAGCAACGCCGCGUGCGGGAUGACGGCCUUCGGGUUGUAAACCGCUUUCAGUGGGGACGAUUAUGACGGUACCCACAGAAGAAGCUCCGGCUAAAUACGUGCCAGCCGCUGC
rnacentral:rRNA from 1 species